rnacentral:lncRNA from 1 species
GUGUUUGAGAAAGUACCCUUAAACACACAGAAAAAUGGGGUUGGACUUCCUUCCUGGUGUUGGAGAGAGGAGCUUGUUCAGCCCAGUCUGAUGUGGUGUGCUGCCUCUUCUUGGUUCAGCCCGAAGAUUCAGACCCAAUCACUUCUUAAGGAGAGGUUAUAAAUGCUGACUAAUUAGAUUCAUUACCAAAGAAGAGGAAAUUACAGAAGUCAAGAGGAAGGUCUGAAGAGGGAUCUGAAGAGGAUUUUCCCUGUCUUGAACCAAGGAAGGGUUUCUGUAUCUAGCUGCUGGCAGCAUUCAGUCUCACUUGGACAUCAGGACUUGCUUGGACAUCUAAAACAACAGAUCCUGGAUCUAACUGGUUUUGGACCCCUGCUGAGUCUAUUAUCCUUGAAGAAUGCAAGUGAAUUCCAGAGAGUCUGUUUUAUUAUCUCUGCAACAUUGUCUAUGAUUCAAGAAAAUCUAGUCUGAUAUUGCUGUGACAUUAAUUCCCUACUCAGAUGACACUGCCAAUGACACUAUUUUCCAUAGUGACAAUAUGGAAGAAAAGAUUAUUGCUAGAAUUGCUUUCUGAAUUUCUAGUCAAUUGUAAAUAUUAAAAAUUAAUUUGCCAUACUCCAAGUAUUAUAUUUAAUUAAUAAUAAAACUUGAAGCAAAGGAAAACA